rnacentral:rRNA from 1 species
UACGUAGGGUGCAAGCGUUGUCCGGAAUUAUUGGGCGUAAAGAGCUCGUAGGUGGUUUGUCGCGUCUGCUGUGAAAACUCGGGGCUUAACCCCGGGCCUGCAGUGGGUACGGGCAGACUAGAGUGUGGUAGGGGAGACUGGAAUUCCUGGUGUAGCGGUGAAAUGCGCAGAUAUCAGGAGGAACACCGAUGGCGAAGGCAGGUCUCUGGGCCAUAACUGACACUGAGGAGCGAAAGCGUGGGGAGCGAACAGG